CAGUAGCCACGGGAAUACGUAGGUGGCAAGCGUUGUCCGGAAUUAUUGGGCGUAAAGGGCUCGCAGGCGGUCUCUUAAGUCUGAUGUGAAAGCCCCCGGCUCAACCGGGGAGGGUCAUUGGAAACUGGGAAACUUGAGUGCAGAAGAGGAGAGUGGAAUUCCACGUGUAGCGGUGAAAUGCGUAGAGAUGUGGAGGAACACCAGUGGCGAAGGCGACUCUCUGGUCUGUAACUGACGCUGAGGAGCGAAAGCGUGGGGAGCGAACAGGAUUAGAUACCCCCGUAGUCCCUGUCUCUUAUAC
rnacentral:rRNA from 1 species